GUGAGUGUAUGUUAGUUUGGAUGUUUGUUUGUGGUGGACUUUUCGUGUCGUGUCCACGUAGUUUAGGUUCCCUUCUUGCUCCGUGCAAAAUAGAUUUAACGUUACCUCAUGUGGGGUCUAUUCACAGUGAUCGGUUGUUUGUUUGGUUGCCGCGAGUGAUACUUUAUCGAGUGACUAGUUAUUGAUUUGAUUUGUUUGUCAACGCUGAUAUAUUUUUGAGUUUAUACGUUACGUUUUAUAAUUAAACAACAUCGGAAGAUCGAUUUGGCUCGCGAGGAGGAGUUGUCCCGCCACCUGCGGGAGAUGGAGGUGGUGCGAGCCGGCCGCCAGCUUCCCGACGAGGAACUCGUGCAUCUGCAGCGACAGCUACAACAGGCUCACAGCGAGGUGUCGUCUCACGGGGAGGUGGUGCGCGGCAAGCUGUCCGCGCUCGCUCGCUGCGACGCGCGGCUACAACGCACCGCACCGCGCGCCGCCGC